CCGAGUUUACAACUCCCAAACCCCUGUGAACAUACCACUUGUUGCCUCGGCGGAUCAGCCCGCUCCCGGUUAAUAAUAAACGGGACGGCCCGCCAGAGGACCCCUCUAAAACUCUGUUUUCUAUAUGUAACUUCUGAGUAAAAACCAUAAAUAAAUAAAUCA
rnacentral:misc_RNA from 1 species